UACGUAGGCAGCAAGCGUUGUUCGGAAUUACUGGGCGUAAAGAGUGUGUAGGCGGUGCUCCAAGUCUGGUGUGAAAUCUCCCGGCUUAACUGGGAGGGUGCAUUAGAAACUGGAAUGCUAGAGGAUGGGAGAGGUAAGCGGAAUUCCUGGUGUAGCGGUGAAAUGCGUAGAUAUCAGGAGGAACACCUGUGGUGUAGACAGCUUACUGGACCAUUUCUGACGCUGAGACGCGAAAGCGUGGGUAGCAAACAGG
rnacentral:rRNA from 1 species